AUGCUUACCUGGCAGGAGCCAUAUCAUGGUCACGAAGGUGGUUUUCCCAGGGUAAGACUCAUCCAUCGCACUUCUGAUGUGCCGACCCCUGGCGAUUUCCCGAAAUAUGCCAAACUCAUCUACAUAAUUUGUAGUGAGGGAUGGUGCUGGCACUCUCCCCUA
ensembl:snRNA U1 U1 spliceosomal RNA